GUGCAUACUCGGCAUCGCACUUGCAGCCACACGCACGGGGGAAGCCGGUCCGAAUCCGGCGCUGACCCGCAACGGUAGGCCACCAGAUCCUUUCGGUGGCGAGCCCGAUUACCCGGCGUGGGGUGUGCGACAUC
rnacentral:ncRNA from 2 species